rnacentral:rRNA from 1 species
GACGAACGCUGGCGGCGUGCUUAACACAUGCAAGUCGAACGGUGAGCCCCCGGCUUCUUGGGGUGUACCAGUGGGAAACGGGUGGGUAACACGUGAGCAACCUGCCCCAGCUUCGGGAAUAGGCGCUGGAAAGGCCGCCUAAUACUGGAUACGAGAUAAAGCCCCUUGGUAUUGGUCUGAAAAGUUUUUCGGUUUGGGCUGGGCCGGCGGCAUAUCAGCUGGUUGGUGAGGUAGUGGCCCACAAAGGCGACGACGGGUAGCCGGCCUGGGAGGGCGACCGGCCACACUGGGACUGAGACAGGGCCCAGACUCCUACGGGAGGAAGCAGUGGGGAAUAUUGCACAAUGGGCGAAGGGCUGAUGCAGCGACGCCGCGUGGGGGAUGACGGCCUUCGGGUUGUAAACCUCUUUCAGCAGGGAAGAAGCGAAAGUGACGGUACCUGCAGAAGAAGCACCGGCUAACUACGUG